rnacentral:tRNA from 1 species
GGAGUGGUACUCAAGUGGCUGAAGAGGACGGUUUGCUAAAUCGUUAGGGGGGUAACUCCCGCCAGGGUUCAAAUCCCUGCCACUCCGCCA